CCUACGGGAGGCAGCAGUGAGGAAUAUUGGUCAAUGGCCGGAAGGCUGAACCAGCCAUGCCGCGUGAAGGUCAGUGCCCUAUGGGCGUUAAACUUCUUUUGUGCGGGAGCAAUAAUGGUCACGUGUGGCCAGACGAGAGUUCCGUACGAAUAAGCAUCGGCUUAAUCCGUGCCAGCAGCCGCUGUUAUACCGGGGAAGCAGGCGUUUUCCGGAUUUUAUGGGUUUAAAGGGUGCGUAGGCUGUGAGGUAAGUCAGCGGGGAAAUGCCCCCGCUCAACGGGGUGAAGUGCCAUUGAUACUGGCUUGCUGGAAUGCGGAAGCCGUGGGAGGAAUGUGUGGUGUAGCGGUGAAAUGCAUAGAUAUCACACAGAACACCGAUUGCGAAGGCAUCUCACGAAUCCGCGAUUGACGCUGAUGCACGAAAGCGUGGGUAUCAAACAGGAUUAGAUACCCUUGUAGUC
rnacentral:rRNA from 1 species